rnacentral:rRNA from 1 species
CAGCAGCCGCGGGAAUACGUAGGUGGCAAGCGUCGUCCGGAAUUAUUGGGCGUAAAGGGCUCGCAGGCGGUUUCUUAAGACUGAUGUGAAAGCCCCCGGCUCAACCGGGGAGGGUCAUUGGAAACUGGGAAACUUGAGUGCAGAAGAGGAGAGUGGAAUUCCACGUGUAGCGGUGAAAUGCGUAGAGAUGUGGAGGAACACCAGUGGCGAAGGCGACUCUCUGGUCUGUAACUGACGCUGAGGAGCGAAAGCGUGGGGAGCGAACAGGAUUAGAUACCCGUGUAGUCCCUGUCUCUUAUAC